UACGGAGGAUGCAAGCGUUAUCCGGAUUUAUUGGGUUUAAAGGGUGCGCAGGUUGUUUGAUAAGUCAGUGGUGAAAGUCUGUCGCUUAACGGUAGGAUUGCCAUUGAUACUGCAUGGCUAGGAUUUGGUUGCUGUGGGUGGAAUGUGUGGUGUAGCGGUGAAAUGCUUAGAUAUCACACAGAAUAUCAAUUGCGAAGGCAGCUCACAAAGCCAAGAUUGACGCUGAGGCACGAAAGUGUGGGGAUCAAA
rnacentral:rRNA from 1 species